UGAGGGUCCUAAAGGGCCGUUGGAGACCACAACGUUGAUAGGUGGGGUGUGUAAGCGCAGUGAUGUGUUGAGCUAACCCAUACUAAUUACCCGUGAGGCUUAACCAUACAACACCCAAGAAGUGUUCU
rnacentral:rRNA from 1 species